UAGUUCGUGGAGUGAUCUGUCUGCUUAAUUGCGUUUCAAAAUUUAACUUGAGGACCGGGUUUUGGUUUGGCUAGUGGUUCUACGAUGACUGUGAACUGUCAUGUCUUCGGAUGUGCGACUAUUGGUCUAGGAUCACAUGACUUGCCCCUGGGACUCUUUUGAACGCAACGGACGUGAUUGCAACCCCUUGUUGAGAUUAGAGAUAGUCUCGAUAUUCACUGGACAAACUGGCUGCUUUAUGCAGUCUUGUUGAAUGGUGGAUAAACUCGGGGGACUGCUGACUAUAACCAUUUCUCAAAACAGAGGAAGGUUGCGGCAAUAACAGGUCUGUGAUGCCCUCAGAUGUCCCGGGCUGCACACGUGCUACAAUGAGUGGCGCAAUGUGCUAAUGUUUAAGGGAUAAGAGUGUGGUCAGUAGAACGUCGGGAUUUCCCCUGACGUCUCCCCCGCACGAUUAUCAGCCUUCCCUUAACAGGGCGGGCAACCUUUUCAAAAUACUGGUUUGAUGUUAAAGUAUUGAGUCGUUUUUUUUGGAUGGUGGUUUGUUAACCAAUACCAUCCGGCAACUGCUCGCGAGUUUGUGGUUCUGGCGACUCAUG
rnacentral:rRNA from 1 species